rnacentral:rRNA from 1 species
CUGCUGCCUCCCGUAGGAGUUUGGUCCGUGUCUCAGUACCAAUGUGGGGGGUUGACCUCUCAGUCCCCCUAUGUAUCGUCGCCUCGGUGAGCCGUUACCUCACCAACUAGCUAAUACAACGCAUGUCCAUCUCUGACCACCUGAGUUUUCAACCACCGAAGAUGCCUCCGGUGAUGUUAUGGGGUAUUAGUACCAAUUUCUCGAUGUUAUCCCCCUGUCAAAGGUAGGUUACAUACGCGUUACGCACCCGUCCGCCGGUCGCCGG